UGAAUGGUUUUCAGUUAGUGUAUCCAGUAUCAGUCUGGAUGGACUCCUGUGGGUUUCGAAGCAGCAUAGAAUUCCCAACCUCCUUUGGAGUCAAACAGAGUUUGGGGGAAGAGACACCGCUGGUCUGGUGUACCCUACCUAGCUAGAGAGUUCCCGGAGACCGGUGGACUCAGCUGAGAGGAGGACCAACACAAACUCGAGCAAAUUAACACAACUUUUGAACCGGAUCACCAAGCAGCCAGCCUGGGCUGGCAGGACUGACUUAUGGCGGAGUAAACAACCAGCGAUGAGGAAAGUGAAGCUUAGAAAGAGGAUCAGUAACCUCCCCAAGGCCACACAGCUAUCCAUUAAAUGAAUAGGCUGGAUCACAUGAUCACACAGACCUUUUGUCUAAUGCCUGCUGGAUUAACACUGGAUUCAGUCUUUGAAGGAAAUCUACUGAGUGUUCUACACAGAUGACCGCACUAGCUCCCCACAACCUUUAUAAGGUGGAUUUUAAAGCUUCUAUUUAAUAGAGGAGUUAUCCAAGGUCAAGUAUGUAAGUAGUGAAGCAAGCCAGAAUGCCAGCAGCCUGUGUUGACAAC